GAAAGUUUGCAUAGCCUUAAUACUGUUUUAACUUUUAACUUUUUGCACCUUUCUAUUUUUAGAAGUUUGCUUUUCCAAUCCCUUAUUCACACUCCAUGUCGGACUUUCAAACUACUCCGUCAAAAAAUGUUUUGAUUUGCUAGAUGAACAAAGAUGUACCUUUAUCGCCACUAAGCUUGACCAUUGUUAUGAGGAUUUGGUCACACAUAUAGUUGGAAACUACGUCGUGAAGCACUUGACUAUGAUAUAGUUAUUUUAUGAAAAAAUUUUGAUGAAAUAUUUCUGCCGAAAU
rnacentral:sRNA from 1 species